UCACCACGGCGGCAGCCCUUUAAACCCCUCACCCAGCCAGCGCCCCAUCCUGUCUGUCCGAACCCAGACACAAGUCUUCACUCCUUCCUGCGAGCCCUGAGGAAGCCUUGUGAGUGCAUUGGCUGGGGCUUGGAGGGAAGUUGGGCUGGAGCUGGACAGGAGCAGUGGGUGCAUUUCAGGCAGGCUCUCCUGAGGUCCCAGGCGCCAGCUCCAGCUCCCUGGCUAGGGAAACCCACCCUCUCAGUCAGCAUGGGGGCCCAAGCUCCAGGCAGGGUGGGCUGGAUCACUAGCGUCCUGGAUCUCUCUCAGACUGGGCAGCCCCGGGCUCAUUGAAAUGCCCCGGAUGACUUGGCUAGUGCAGAGGAAUUGAUGGAAACCACCGGGGUGAGAGGGAGGCUCCCCAUCUCAGCCAGCCACAUCCACAAGGUGUGUGUAAGGGUGCAGGCGCCGGCCGGUUAGGCCAAGGCUCUACUGUCUGUUGCCCCUCCAGGAGAACUUCCAAGGAGGUGAGGAGUGUGUGAACGCACCUGUGUUGGAGCACGGUGUCCCACUCUGGCGGGUCCCCAGGGCCUGAGCAGCAGCGAUAGCCCUGUGACAAUGUGAAGGGCCACAGAACUCUUGUAUUCCAGUCAGGGGCAAAGAGUGGAGACGGAAGGCCUGUCCUUCUGACAAGCAGCCCCUUCCACUGUCUGACAGUGGGAGGUCACCCCCACUGUAGCAGAGGGGUGGGGGGCGGGUACUGCCAAGGAGGAGCUUUGGAGUGAUAGGCGGGGCAGGCCUGGGACCCUUGGUCUUUCCCAAAGGGUGGUUCCCUUUCGAAGUUGCUAUUCCAAAGGUAGCAGUGAGGAUGGCACACAUUUAUGUAGCCAGGCCACUCCUGUUUGUCCGUGGAGUGGAGAGGAGCCACCCUCCUGCCCUCUCAGAGGUCCAGGUGUGCUCACUCCUAUUUGGGAAGAGAGAAGGGGCACAGCAGCCCUGCAGGGGCCCCUGGCUCUGCUCGUGUUUCUGGGCUUCUGCUGGUAGGGGGUGCCACCUUCCCGUUUGACCCUGGACUUUCUUUCUCCACUGCCCACUUUCACCCACUGGGCAGCUCAGGGGAGGGGUCCUGGCAGGAGCCACAGGGCAGGAGGGUCCAUGCCUGUCCAUGCUGUCCUGGGAGUGUCUUGAGAUGCCCCUGGGGGGGCCGCCCUGUAAUCAUCCUCCUCUCCCCCUCCCCACUGGCUCGAAGGCAGGACUCGGGAGGCUUCAUCAGAGGACUCUAAAGGAUUUCUGGGGAUUCUCCACUUUUCGACCCUGACCCAGGAGGAGGAAGGGGAAGGAUGGUGGUGCUGGGUGGGAGUGGGGAUGGUGUGUGCUUCAUCCCCCUCUGACCGAAAUCCUAAUCUUGUCUCUAGAUCUGGGGGCUGCAGCGUUGUGUACCUGUCACCCUUAGCCUUGCUGCUUUGACCUGUAUUGUCUGUUCUGACCCUCCUGAGACUGGAAGCUGGGGGUAGGGGACACACUCUCCUUCCAUCCUGUUCCUCAGGAGCCCAGCAGGGGUGCAGAAGGGGAAGGCAGACAUGAGGGCAGGUGGAGUGGGGGUAGAAGCAGGGCCAGAGACAGAAGGUGGAUGCCUGUCUGGGAUGGUGGUGCAAAGGCUGAGACAGAGGCUGGGGUGGAUGGAAGCCAGGAUGCAGGGCUACCAAAAUCACCUGGUCCCAGCUGACUUGGGGGUUUGGACCACAGUUCUUUGUGCAGGAGUCCUUGGGUGGUUGGGGAGCGGGGGUGGGACACACAGGGUGAAGGGAGGGAUUGGCUGUUUGUAGCUGAACAGCAGAACAGAGCACUCUGCCUUUGGGGUCUCUGGCAUCACUGGCAGGGAGAGGGGUGGCUGGGCCAGGAGCCCACCUCAUCCCCAGUGCUCAGAGAACUGGGUCCUCAGAAGUGGUCCUGCCCCCACUUUACACAUAAGGAAACAGACGCAAGGAGGAGAGGGAUGCCCAAUGACGGGCACUUCGAUGAGUCCGUGUGAACUCUGUUCCGUGUGAGCUGCUGCGCGCUCAGGGAAUGAUUGUGAGAAGCGGGUGGAGGCUGGAGUGGGCAGCAAAGAACUGACAUUUUGAGGUCAGUUUUUCACUCCUUGGUCAAGGGCAGGCUCUCUCCCUGGUCAUUACCAGGAGCCUGGCUCCGGGCAGCAAAGAACUGACAUUUCGAGGAGCUCUGCUAAGGGCCAGGCAGUAUGUGAGGGAGUUCACAGACACCGUCCCAUUUUCACAGCCCUCUGAGGUUGGUAACAUAACCCCCACUUCACAGAUGAGGAACUCCAGCCCAGAAAGCCUGUCAGCCCUGAGAAAGGAAGGGCAGGGCAUCGGGCUGGGCAGCUGGCCUGGGACCAGUGGGGUGUGAUAGUGUUGGCUCUGCUUCCCGCGGGUGGGGUGCCAGUGGGGAGGGGUCUCACCAGAGAGGGAGCCGGGGGAGUGCGCUCCUGCGUCCAUCCUCAGACCAGCGUGUCCCUCCCAACCUCUGACCCCUCUGAGGCCAGGGGAUGGGUUCGGCUUCCUUUGGUACCUCUUUUGGAAGUCUCUUCAGACAAACACUGGAGAGAAGGCACAGCACCCUAGGGUGACAUCAGUGGACAGCCAUCCCGCUUAGCCUGCCUCACCCACACCCGUGUGGUACCUUCAGCCCUGGCCAAGCUUUGAGGCUCUGUCACUGAGCAAUGGUAACUGCACCUGGGCAGCUCCUCCCUGUGCCCCCAGCCUCAGCCCAACUUCUUACCCGAAAGCAUCACUGCCUUGGCCCCUCCCUCCCGGCUGCCCCCAUCACCUCUACUGUCUCCUCCCUGGGCUAAGCAGGGGAGAAGCGGGCUGGGGGUAGCCUGGAUGUGGGCCAAGUCCACUGUCCUCCUUGGCGGCAAAAGCCCAUUGAAGAAGAACCAGCCCAGCCUGCCCCCUAUCUUGUCCUGGAAUAUUUUUGGGGUUGGAACUCAAAAAAAAAAAAAAAAAAUCAAUCUUU
rnacentral:lncRNA from 1 species